rnacentral:tRNA from 1 species
UGUAGCUCAAUGGUUAGAGCACUUGCCUAAAGUUCAUGUUCCUGGGUUUAAUCCCCAGCA